CUUUUUCGAAAAUCAAGAUGUGUAUUCUUGCUGCCCUUCGUAGCGUUGUGUCCUUAAGGAAGUUCUGGUCCAAAUGGUUUUAACGAUCCUUGUUUUGGGCCAAACAAUGGAUUGUUUACUUCCUGGAGUGGACCGAGUGGGUCAGGCUUCUGGGCAGGAGGUGUGGCUAAACCUGCACGGCUGAAGAAGAAAAGGUGAAGGUGAAAUAAAUAAUUUUACUGCUUUUAAUUAAUAGUGUGGAUCUGUUAACCAUAUACAGUUCAUACGUAUUGACCAUGGACUGGCAGUCUGUAAUCGUAACAGUCGAAGAAAGGCUUAGUGAAAAAAGUUUUAUGCACACAUGACAAAAAACACUGACACUUUUAUA
rnacentral:sRNA from 1 species